rnacentral:rRNA from 1 species
GACGAACGCUGGCGGCGUGCUUAACACAUGCAAGUCGAGCGGUAAGGCUCCUUCGGGAGUACACGAGCGGCGAACGGGUGAGUAACACGUGAGCAAUCUGCCCUUCUCAUCGGAAUAAGCGCGGGAAACUGCGUCUAAUGCCGAAUACGACCUCGGAAGGCAUCUUCUGAGGUGGAAGGCUCCGGCGGAGAAGGAUGAGCUCGCGGCCUAUCAGCUAGUUGGUGAGGUAACGGCUCACCAAGGCAUUGACGGGUAGCCGGCCUGAGAGGGUGACCGGCCACACGGGGACUGAGACACGGCCCAGACUCCUACGGGAGGCAGCAGUGGGGAAUAUUGGACAAUGGGCGAAAGCCUGAUCCAGCAACGCCGCGUGAGGGAUGACGGCCCUCUGGGUUGUAAACUGCUUUUAUCAGGGAAGAAACCACCGGAUUCAUCUGGUGUUGACGGUACCUGAGGAAUAAGCACCGGCUAACUCCGUGCCAG